UGGGGAAUAUUGGACAAUGGGCGCAAGCCUGAUCCAGCCAUGCCGCGUGAGUGAUGAAGGCCCUAGGGUUGUAAAGCUCUUUCACCGGUGAAGAUAAUGACGGUAACCGGAGAAGAAGCCCCGGCUAACUUCGUGCCAGCAGCCGCGGUAAUACGACGGGGGCUAGCGUUGUUCGGAUUUACUGGGCGUAAAGCGCACGUAGGCGGACUUUUAAGUCAGGGGUGAAAUCCCGGGGCUCAACCCCGGAACUGCCUUUGAUACUGGAAGUCUUGAGUAUGGUAGAGGUGAGUGGAAUUCCGAGUGUAGAGGUGAAAUUCGUAGAUAUUCGGAGGAAAACCAGUGGCGAAGGCGGCUCACUGGACCAUUACUGACGCUGAGGUGCGAAAGCGUGGGGAGCAAACAGG
rnacentral:rRNA from 1 species